AAUAUGGAAAGCUUAGAUUAGGAAAACCGUCUGGAAAGUCGGGCCAUAGAGGGUGAUAGCCCCGUAUUCGAAAAUCGAAGCAGACCUAGUGGUAUCCUGAGUAGCACGGGACACGUGAAACCCCGUGUGAAUCCAUGCCGACCACGGCAUAAGGCUAAAUACUCGAUGACGACCGACAGUGAACUAGUACCGCGAGGGAAAGGUGAAAAGCACCCCUGUUAGGGGAGUGAAAUAGUAACUGAAAUCAUCUGCUAACAAGUCAGUCGGAGCCCCCUUGUGGGGUGACGGCCUGCCUUUUGUAUAAUGAGUCUGCGAGUUAUUCCCCGUAGCAAGCCUAAGCCGCUCAGCGGCGCAGGCGCAGCGAAAGCGAGUCCGAAUAGGGCGCUUAGUUGCUGGGAAUAGACCCGAAGGGGAGGUGAUCUAACCAUGAGCCAGGAUGAAACUUCAGUAACAUGAAGUGGAGGUCCGAACCGGUCAAUCUUGAGAAAUUGUCGGAUGAGUUGUGGUUAGGAGCGAAAGACUAAUCAAACCCCCUGAUAGCUGGUUCUUUCCGAAAUAUAUUUGGGUAUAGCGUCGGGCGCUGAUUUGCGGAGGUAGAGCACUAAAUAAGCUAGGGCCCCUACCGGGGUACUGAACUUAAUUAAACUCCGAAUACCGCAGAGU
rnacentral:ncRNA from 1 species